rnacentral:misc_RNA from 1 species
AUGUCAAAAUUGGUGGUUGAACAUAUUAGGCUCGCAACAUCUUGGUGGAUAUAACAGUGUCAAGUGAAUAUGCCUAUUUGAUCAGCAUUUACAAAAAAUAAAACUAGCUUAAAGUAUGCUUCACAUUCUUCAGUUUUAUCCAGAAACAAUUUUCAACUUGUAGAUUCUGGACCAGUGCCGACCAUGUAUUGCCUAGAGCUCAUUAAGCAUUACUAUUCGCAUAAAAAAAGGUUCCAAAUUCUUGAAUCAACCAGUAAAUUAUCUUCUCCUAAACAAUAAGCUAGACAAGCCAAGUACCCAGUAAUCUCUCAGUUCUCUCAUUCAGCAAACCUUCUCCAAGGCAAGAGAUUGUUAGGUGCACAAAUGCAACAUCUCUCACGAUCACGUGAACCCACUCUCCACUCUCCACGUUGUAAAGAGAGCCCACACUUUCCUGUGAGCGAGGGAGACUACUAUUUAUGUGCACAGGAGUAUUCCAUAAUCUUCCCUUCAAGGCAUAGGUCUCAGUAACCCUAACUAAACAUGAAAUGGGCAGCACCCAAUCCACAAUGUCCUAAACAAAAUCUUAAAUAUUCAGUUGAAUCCGGUGAGCAAAGUAAACGUCAACUAGAUUUACCAAAAAAAGGAAGCGAAAAAGGAUCCAAAAGCAUAAAAAGAAAACAAA